GACCACGUAGCUCAGUUGGCAGAGUAUUGGACUAGUAUCCCAAAGGUCGCGGGUUCGAUUCCCACUAUGGCCA
rnacentral:tRNA from 1 species